UCGCCGGUUGCUGCUUCAGAGAGCCGCUCGCCUCCGUUAUUUCUGGUAAUUUUGGACAGAAAACGCUUCACGGGGUGCACAGGGUUUGCUGAGAAGAUGCUUAUUUUCACACGACUUGCUUCGCAUCUGAUAUCUAUGUGACUGAUUUUUUUAUAGAUCAGACAAAAGUCACGUUAUUGAGCAAAACAGCACAGUUCUUUGGUUGUUUUUGGCUAGAUGUAUAGCCUUUAGUGGAUGCGUUGCAGCCUAUGACGAUGAUGUGUUGUAACGGUAUGGAAACUAUGAUGUCAUUUCUGUGUACGUGCAACCCCAACAGCUCCUCCAGCAGAAGCUGCUUCCUCCCGUCUUCCAGAUGCUGCCGACCUAGUUGUCCACCAUCUGACAGGCGGUUCUGGCUGAUGACCUGUCGCCAUAGCUGAUAGAAACCCAGAGGGAAUAUCAUCCCCAAUGAUAAUAUUAGUAUUAUUAUUAUUAUUAUUAUUAUUAUUAUUAUUAUAUAUAUUAUAUUAUUACUGUACUGAUGAAGAACAGGAGGGCAGGCUUAUCCAUUGUCCCUGAACUGUUUGAUGUGUAGAGUCAAAAUGCCACUUUGUCACCGCUAGUCACAUGUCUGAGAAGAUGUUCUGCAAAAAUAAUAGCAAUACAGAUAUGUUCUUGCUCUUCGAUGAGGUUCUGACAAUCAUAUGUAUCCAUUAUAAAGAAAACCUACAGUAGUUGAACACUUUGUGUAGGUAGUAACCUGUUUGUUGAACGCCAGUGAUUCUAAGAACAAAAAUAACUGUUACCUGUAGGACAAUGUCUCUAUCACAGGUCACCAAGGGUACAAUAAGGCAUAUCCUUAAUAAAAUCUAUUUUCAUGGCUAAUUGUGCAUGCCUCUCAUUUUCCACUUAAUAUGCAAUAUAGUUAUACCUAUGGCUUGCAUAACCAACUCAGUGCCCCUGUUGUUAGUGUCCUACCUAAGAGUUGAAGGUUGGACAGUUCGAUCCCUGACCG